rnacentral:rRNA from 1 species
GACGAACGCUGGCGGUGUGCUUAACACAUGCAAGUCGAACGGUAAGGCCCUUUCGGGGGUACACGAGUGGCGAACGGGUGAGUAACACGUGAGUAACCUGCCCUCAUCUCUGGGAUAACAGUCGGAAACGGUUGCUAAUACUGGAUAUGAGCUUGCAAGGCAUCUUGUGGGUUGGAAAGAUUUUUUUGGUUGGGGAUGGACUCGCGGCCUAUCAGCUUGUUGGUGAGGUAGUGGCUCACCAAGGCUUCGACGGGUAGCCGGCCUGAGAGGGUGACCGGCCACAUUGGGACUGAGAUACGGCCCAAACUCCUACGGGAGGCAGCAGUGGGGAAUAUUGCACAAUGGACGGAAGUCGGAUGCAGCAACGCCGCGUGCGGGAUGACGGCCUUCGGGUUGUAAACCGCUUUCAAUUGUGACGAAGCUUUUUGUGACGGUAGCAGUAGAAGAAGCACCGGCUAACUACGUG